UAAAAUGCUAAAACUCUGACUAUGAAAAAUUAUAAUAUUCAUAAAUUUGAUCAUAAAAAAAUUAGAAUAAAAAAUAAAUAAGUCUCUAACCUUUUUAAACGCGGACAUUUUCGUUCUUUAAGAUUGAAAAAUACAUUUAAAUCCCUCACCUUAUAAAACGCGUGACAAUUAUAUUCCUCCGUCGAGUUGGGACUCAAAACAGUAAUGGAGAAUGCUGACCUAGAUGGGUGAAAACUGAGCUAUCCGUUUUGGUUGAUGACGUGGAUGGAGAACAAAUUGUUAAUAGACAAAUUAGUCCUUAUACUUCGAAACGGUCCUUUUGUAUACUCCGUGGAGGACCAUAUGGCAGUGCUGCCACCGCUUCCGAUGAACCGCCCUCAUCAUAUCACUGGCAACAACAACUUGAAAACGACACCACCACCUACUACUUUGGGGAUCCAUUCUCAACCAUGAGAGAUCCUUUCCUUCACCAGCUCCACAUCCCUCCUACUUCUUCGUCUUACUUCGAAGAACCACCGCUACCACCGCCAUCGCUGCCGCCGCCUACCUUGCUUACUCCAUGUUAUAACUAUUAUGGUGGUGCACCCCUUUAACAUGACAUGAGAUCUUUCUCCUCUUCUUCUUAUAACAGUUAGCUGCAACAACUUAUUCUCGAACAUGAUUUAGAUCUCUCAGCACUAAUAACACUUCUUCUUCUUGUUCCUCUUCGUCUUCAAAAUUAGCCAUCUCUUCCUCCUCCUCUUCUUCUCCUUCUAUGCUCUCAAAUGUUAACGCCAUGGUCAAUGCAAUAUCAAUCCCCUCCAACAAGCAAGAUUGCCAUCUUCUGGACAACGCUUCCGCACUUCAGAUCUCAUCUCCACGCAAUUCUGCUCUUAAGCGCAGACAGUUCAGUCUCCACCCUUCUAGGUCAACAUUUUCCGUUAUCGUUUUGAAUCCCAACUCGGCGAAAGGAUAUAAUUGUCACGCACCACCACCCCCGAUCUUAGUCUGAACAUCUGGCGGUGGUUUGAAUCAGGUGUAGAGGACGAGAUCGUAUUUGAGGAAAGCACCCACAAAACACCAGCGUCAAAAAAGUCGUUGUCUUGGUGUGUAUUGGCAACAGUCACAUCAUUAUUUUUUGUAGUUUUUUAAGAUUUGGAUAAUUUUGUCUAUCAAAAUCCAUCUUUAAUAGUUACAAAUUAAUUUUAA